AAUAUUGGACAAUGGGCGAAAGCCUGAUCCAGCCAUGCCGCGUGUGUGAAGAAGGUCUUCGGAUUGUAAAGCACUCUAAGUUGGGAGGAAGGGCUGUUACCUAAUACGUGACAGUUUUGACGUUACCAACAGAAUAAGCACCGACUAACUUCGUUCCAGCAGCCGCGGUAAUACGAAGGGUGCAAGCGUUAAUCGGAAUUACUGGGCGUAAAGCGCGCGUAGGUGGUUCGUUAAGUUGGAAGUGAAAGCCCCGGGCUUAACCUGGGAAUUGCUUUCAAAACUGACGAGCUAGAGUACGGUAGAGGGUAGUGGAAUUUCCUGUGUAGCGGUGAAAUGCGUAGAUAUAGGAAGGAACAUCAGUGGCGAAGGCGACUACCUGGACUGAUACUGACACUGAGGUGCGAAAGCGUGGGGAGCAAACAGG
rnacentral:rRNA from 1 species